rnacentral:scRNA from 1 species
GCGCGGUAAAGGAUCUUCGCUUCUUCAACCGU